AGAUCUUCCAUCUCUAAAAAAUCUUGCAAAGGAGACUUUAUUCAGCUGAAAUGCUCUCUUGCAUGAUGUGCAAAUGAGGAUAAAAUAAAGCCUGAGAACGUGGUCAGGGAGAGUGAGAUGGAAUAAGCAGACCAAAAAAUAUUGAAGCAGAAUGUCAUGCAAGAACUGAAGUACAUCUGGUGAGUAUGCAUGCUAUUGCUCUACCUUAGAAACCAUUAUAAACCAUUUGAGGUGAUCAAAAAAUUGCUGCCCAGGUGCAGCAGUUUAUAUUUUGAAAAUGAAAUAAAUCUAGUGGAUACUGUGGACGAAGAACUUGCAAAAUCUUAUUAGAAAAAUAAAUCUGUUUUGAGUUAGAGGAGUGAAAAAAAUCCUAACAAAUUAUAGGAGUAGAAGUGUUGCAAAACUCAAUACAUUCAUGUUUAUUCAAUAAUCACACACAUGUUCCAUUAAGAAAUGCAGAAAAAAGUGCAAUAAAUAUUGACUUUCACAGCAAAAUGUAGAAGUAUAUGUGCAAAGAAUAAUGAAUCCUUUUCUUGACAGUUUGAGAAAAAUAGAAACUUGAAGCCAUUAACACAGGUUGAAAAAUAAAAAAGUUGUUCUCUUCAUUAGCUAGGGGAAAAUAUUUCAAGUUAGUUUUGUAGAGAUUAUUCAUCUGACUUGAUUCUUUAUAUGCAGAACAAACUGGUUUGUGUUCCAUUGUUUCUUGAAUGUAGGAAAUUGUGGGGUAAGACCUGGCUGGGAGCUCUUUUUGUUUGAGAGCACUGUCAAAGCAUGUCUCCCCAAUUCCCACCCCCACAUCUCAACAAGUGCUUUAGGGGCUUGGGGACUUGGUGGAAAUCAUGCUGUGUUCUAAAUACCUCAUCCUACCACUGGCAAUAUUUCUAUCCAGGAAAAACCAUAUUAAAUGAACCUAAGAGCAAACCUGAGUGGGAAAAAACAUUACAAAAGAAUAUUUUGGAAAUUCUAAUGCUUUAUUGAUCUGAGUGUCACUUGGUACUGUCUUGGAGGGUAACUAGAAGAUGUAUAUUGAAGAACUUUAAAAUGUUUAUGGCUUUUUAUCCAUCAAUUCCUUGAGAACCAAAGAAAAGAAUCAGAGACAUAUGUAUAUAACAACUUUCAUACAAUGGUAUUCAUACAGCACUAUUUGUAUUAGUAAAAACUUGUAAUCGACUCAAAUUUCAGGGCUAAAAUGAUUUAACAAAUUAAAAGAUGACUCAAUACAAACUGUUAUGAAAUCUUUAGAAAUCAUGCUGUAAAGACUAUUUACCUACAAAACUAUUCAUGGCACAUGCAAAAAUCCCAAAUAAUAUAUGUAAUGCCUAUGACUUGAUCUCUCACAUGUUGUGUUAUAUGUGUAUAUGCAACCUGUAUAGAAAAAGAACUGGAAGAAAAAGAAUGUUAAGUGGUAGAAUCAUGCAUGAUUUAAAUGUUUCUGUCUUUGUGCUUUUGUGUAUUUUCAAACAUUUCUACGCUGAUAAUCACUUUUAUAUUCAGAAAGAAAAUACCUAAUAAAUGCUAUUGAAGAAAAAGGCAACCGAAAAGGUGUAUGUGGAAAGUGAAAGGGAAAGGUUUGGCCUUAGUGUUUGGGAGAAGGAGAUCUUUGUUUUCCUGCACCAAUGGGGGGAAUCCACCAUGUCCCUCCCAAGUUCACCUCUUUGGCAGUAGAGCCAAGACUCCCAGUGGAGGAUCUGGGUCAGAAGCUUCAAAAUGUGGAACACUGGUUGGACCUAAAAGGAUAUCCAUUAGUUCAACGGGAAGGAGCUAAUCUCUGGAAGUAACCAAUCUGCUGUGUGAUUCCUUGUGGGACAACUGAGCGGCAGGCUUAACCUCUAACCCCCUGCCGUGUAGAGUUUCCACCAGCCUCCCCGCUGAUUUCUGAAGAGUUCCCAGGGUUAUCAUCAGCUUGGUGGGGCAUAAAGCAAUAAGAGAAAUGGGCCCUGGGUUUCGCAGCGCCAGGAGCAAAUGCGGACACAAUCACUUGCCCUCGACAUUCUAAGAUCAUAUAAUGAUGCUUGGUAAAUUGCUUUGAGAUCCACAGGCAAGUGUGCCAUUCCAUUACCAGUCUUUAAUCGGCAUUUCUACUCACUCAUGUAAGAACCAUUGAAAGCCAUUGAUCCUGAACUUUCUAUAGUCAUCAGCAAGUGAGUCUGGAGAAGUUUAGGUGCCAAGAUCUCAACAAACUGACAGGGUAAGCAACUGUAAUAGGGCAGGCUGAUACAUCCCACGGCAGCCAUUGUUAAUAUGAAGGUGAAAGAAGCUUAUCAAGGAUGUGAUUUUGCUGAGAAAUACUGCUCUAUGAGAAGAAAUUGAAAGAAAUGGGGAUGUCUACUACUGAUUUGGUUACCAUUUUCCUACUUCCCUUUAUUAGAACACACGAGAGAACUGAUUUCUGUCAUCAAGUAGACUAAUUUCUCAGUUUGAAAAAUUUUGGCCAUAAUACUCCACAGAGCAUUCAAGGAUUUGAGCUUUUUGACAAUAGUUAUUAGGAGGAAAUAUUUCAAUGCUGCUUUGUUUGAGGUCCCAUUUGCAUUUGCUUAGAGGUGGUUUGUACUGGGGAUUUCAUUGGCCCUGCCCUGCCCUGUGCAGUGCAAGGGGGGAUGUAGCACAGUUGCACCAUGAGGGAAUGGUGGGAACAGUCUAAGAGAAGUCUGUAUGAUUUUUUGUAAGUGUUGAUUAUUGAUAAAUUUUCACAAGUACUUAUGUACUUUGUCACCAGAAGUAGUAUCAUAACGAUCCAUCUACCCAUCCAUACAUCCAUCCAUCCAUCCAUUCAUUUAUCUUCCUCUUCUAUGCCUUAUGUCAGACAUAACUUCCAAAUCUUUACAAAAUAUGAAAUAAGAUACAAAAAUUGUUAAGGAAUGGGGCGGGGUUGUGGCUCAAUCCCAAGUAAGCCACUUGCCUAGCAUGUGUGAGGCACUGGGUUCGAUUCUCUGCACUGCAUAUAAAAAAAUGAAUAAAAUAAAGGUCCAUCAACAUCUAAAUUUUUUUUAAUUGUUAAGGAAAAUGGGACAAAGACAAAAGAGCCAUAAAGAUUCAAUAAAGUCAAGAAUGGAUUUGAUAGGUCAUAAUUCUUCUGUAUUUUCUCAAAAUGGGCCACAGAUUAUAGUGACCAGUGCACACAGAAGAGGUCAGAGUUAUCAAGUUGUGUCCUACAAAGGCCUAGGCUUCCCAGGGGUAGGCAGGGGCAAGAAAAGCAAGUGAGAACUGGCCAAGGACCUUGCUUCAGAUUCUCUCCACCUUCCUGCUCAGCCACAGGAGUUUUGAUGAGUUUGUUACACAGAAUAGCAUUCUCUGGGGGUAAGAUUUAAAGCUAAAGAUGCAAACUCCAUUAAAAGACAUGUUCAAAACCUGCACCAUUCCCAGUGACUUUACGAGCAAAGUCAAUCCACAUGCAGGUAAACCAUACCCAGCCUUGGUACUAAAAGUGAAGGGAAAUAUCCUCAAAAACACCCUUGGAGAGAAGAGUGGAGGAAAAAUAUAUGCUCCAAAAUGAAGGUGUAAGUAUGUUAUCAGUCCAUCCAUUUCUUAAACAAUUACAGUUUUCCUCAAUGUCUGUGGGUUCCAGGACCCCAGUGGGCACCUAAAUCUGAGAAUGCUCAAGUCCCUUAUAUAGAAUGGCAUUCUAUUUGUAUAUAAUAUGCAUAAAUCCUCCUAUAUAGUUUAAAUCAUCUCCUUAAUACUUAUAAUACCUACAAAAAGGUAAGUCAUAUGUAAAUAGUUAUUGUAUCAUUCAGGGAAUAGUGACAAGAAAAUAAACCUACAUGUUUAGUACAGGCACAAUUUUAAAAUUUUCUAUCAAAGGCUGGUUGAAUUCACUUAUAUGGAGGGCCAACUGUAUUUAUUAUAACCUUCUGGGUCAUUGCUUAUAUCCUCAAUGUGAGAGGUAGAUGGUAUAAUAGCGAAUAUAAAGUAUUUUUUUUUACUUUGAAACGUAUGCUCCUUGAGAUUAGUCAAACAUGAAAAAUUAAACAAUAAUAUAGACAACAAGAUUAGAGGUAUCAAGUUCAGACAUUAAACUUUUCAGCAUUUAAUCAGAAGAGAGAGCAAAUCUUGCCAUGGUUAUCAUAGCAUCUUCUUGAAAUGAGGUCAGUCUGAGUUAACCUUUAGAGAAUGUCUAGGGCUUGGAUCUACAGAGAAACGUGGGAAAGCAUGCAGGUGUGUUGUUGAGUGGGGUUACAGCAUACCAGAGAAGAAAUGCAAUAACAGUUAUCAAGAAAAAGUCCUGAGUAUAGUUUUUGAUUGCGGGGAGAGAAUGAGUGGAGAGGAGUUUGCAACCUCUAUGUAAAGACCAAGAGGUUUACUGACCUGUACUGCAAGAUAUGCACCUGCCAAGGGAAAGUACCACGUCCCCCUCAUAGUGUAGAUAUCUUGCAUCUAAUAUUUUAUUUUUGACUGGAAAAGGAAAGAGCAAAUCCUGGAUGGGGGUGAAGUAUUAAAAUGAGGUGGACAGCAGCUUUUGAGAUUAAGUAUAUUACCAAUAAGCCUAAUUCAAUCGUUCUCUUUUUUUUUUCAAAAAAAAAAAAAAGAAGAAGAAGAAGAAGAAGAAAAAAGCCAGUAUGAUUGCAUAUUUUUUUAAGACAUAGUUUUUAGAGAGGCUCUUUGGAGAUACUGUGCCAUGUAGAACACUGGACUUGAGGCUCAGCUAUGAACUGGAUAGACGUGAAUAAGUAACCAGGCUUUUCUGAAUCUGUUUCCUCUUUUAAAAAUGGAAACAAUAACAGGUAACCUCCUUGCUCAGAGUCAUCGUGAGGACUGAUUCAGAGUUAUAUUUGUGAAAGUUGUUGUAAGUUAUGUAGUUUUAGAAUAACUGGAGGAUGCUCAUGAAACUACCAAAAGCAACUGCAUUUAAGGAAGAGUAAAGGCUGGGAAUCUAGCCGUGCUAGCUCUAUGGGGAGGAGAAGCACUUUGUCAUUUAAGCUUUCUCAAUGGCUAGAAAGUCAUUCUCAAAUGACUGGUGAAGUAAAUUUUCUGAUUCUUAUUUGAAGCAAAGGUGAAAACAUGUGGCUGUGGAAAUACUCUCCAAUCAAUUAGGAAGAAAAUGUUUGCUAUGAGUAAAUAUAGCUGUUUAUGUUUUAUUGAACACCUAUAUGUAGUGCUGAUUUUCAUAAUUGUCAGCUUUUACAGGAUACUGGCAUUACCAGAGGCAUUGUCCUUCCUUUCUGCUCUGUCUGUUGCCCUUGACCCCUGCUCCACCCACUACACAUACCACUUAGGAAGCAGCUCUUCUCUUAGUGAACUGAGCUGCUCGCACUUCACCAGGAGGCAGGGCCAUGUGCACCAAUACUACUGCUUGAAAAAAAAUCCUUGCAUGGGAAGCUCUCGUUCUUCACAUACAACAGGUUAGUGCUCCAUUUGGUUGAAUUUGAUAAAGCGACAGUCCGAUGGGAGUAGAGCAAUCACCAAGUGGCAAAUCAAACCAUACCUAUGUUCUGCUGAUAGACAGAGGCCAACCUGCCUGGCAAGUGUGCACAGCUUAACCGCUUAACCGUGGUGAGCAGCCAGCAAAGAGAAGGGGUGGGUAGGGAGGGGGCAUUGAUCCAUGAAGGCAACUCCCAGGUCUUAAAGUGAUAACAUUGGAGCUUUUCCACGUUUUAUUCUGUUACUUAUUUCUUCUUUCGGAUUAUAGAUGAUAAUGUCUCUGACAGAAAGAGAUUGCUGUCAAAACUGUAAACUACCCCUUCAUCCCUUGUCUGCGGACUGGAGAUGAUAAUUUUCCUGUUGUUAUUCCACUUGGGGAGUGAGAGAAAUUGUGGCUGUCAUUGUCAUCAUCAUUGUCACCAUGAGACCCACAAUCACCUUCAACUGGUUAUACUGAAUGCUUGUGAUCGCGGGUCUUAGGCCUUAGUGAGUAAGCAUGAACCUAAGGUCCUCCCAGAUAGGACUCCCUCCAUCCCUUCCUUUCUUUCCCUCUCUUUGUCUUCUAAGUCCUUAGAAAUCCGACUACUCCUGGUGGUUUUGCUGAGAGUUAUUUUGCAGGGGUCACAAUAUUCCUUUAUAGCUAUUAGGGUUUAUCUGCCUCACAGUAGCACCUAAGACAUGGGAGGUAUUAUGUCUUCCGCAACGUUGACAGAAGGCCAGUACAGUAUUUCCACUCAAAUAACGAGCACAUUCUGUUUUAGAAUCAAGUUGUGCCUUUGCACAGCAGGGUGACCAGAGACAACGUUAAUGUACUGUGUACUGCAAUAAGCAAAAAUGGAUCCUAAUGUUUUCACCAUAAAGAAAUGAUAAAUGUUUGAGGAGAUAGAUCUGUUUACCCUGAUUUAAACAUUACACAAUGUGUACGUGUACUGAAACAUCACAUGGUACUCCAUAAAUAAGUAUAAUUUCUCUGUUUUUAUGUAUCAUUUAGAAGAAAUAAAUUUAAACAACCAACAAGAAUCUUCAAGUUGUCAUUACAGUCACUUAAGACAAUUUGUUAAAAAUACAGCUAAUUACAUUUCCAGUGUCACUGCAUAUAGAAAACCAGAAUAUUGGAUAUAAUGUUUAUUAUUUCCUCUUACAAAAGGGAAAAACACAAAUUCUUUUAAUUGCAUCUUUAAUAAUAAAAAGAAGCACAGUCAUUACUAGCAGGAGAUGUAUUACUUUCAUGGGGCUCUGCACACCAGCAUUCUUUCCUAUUGCUUCUUUAUUAUAGUCACAGCAUUAAUUAUUAGGGCCUAAUUAGGCAAAAUUACAGUAUUGUCCCUAAUGAAGUCUCUGGAUUCUUAGAAAGCCCCAGCUAUCUUUUUAUAUCAUUCUGAAGUUAGAAUUAGGAAUAAAAGUCAGCCCAGCCUUCAUUUCCAACCCCAGUUCAUCUUUGAAGCACAUAUCAUUUUUCCAGGUUCACUGGCCAAACUUUGGAAGUUUUUUUUUUUUUAAGUUAAUUUUGUUUCCAAACCUCAAUACUAUUACAGAACUAUCCACUAUAAAAGAUUUUGGAGUAGAAAAUAAAGGAGUAUAGAUCCAGAAGGAGACUUAGCAGAUUUUUAUUAGAGAGUCAUUUUUGGAAAUUGAGAGCAGAAAGAUAGGAAUGGAUAUUAACUGUGGAGUGUCUUUUUCUUUCUAUACAGGAAAAGCUGGCCGGAGUGACCGGGAAGCUCCUUCUAUCUUCUUUCUUUCUCUUGUCUAUUUGCCUGUCGACCACUGGGCAUUUGCUUGUUGGAGCAGUCACUCAAGGGGCGCCACCCAAGGCGUAGGCCUGAGUCUGCACCUUGCACCAGGCAAAGGCUCAAGGAGGCUGCCCCACAGCCUCCUAAGGUGAUGUCGCAAGUGGCUUAUGGCCCUUUACCCUAGAGAUAGUCUCUGAUUAGAAAGGGUUAAAAGCUUCUUCUCUUCUGGAAGGCAACGGUCUUGGACAAUGACCUUUCAUUACUACCUUGUAAAUCUAAAAUAUAAAUCUCUCAUGCAGUCAUUUGCCUAUCUCCUUUUCUGGGUUCUUCCAAACCCCCUUUCCCCUCUUCCCAACUGGGGACAUUUUCUUAGGCUCAUUCUAAAUUGCCUGUGCCUCUUUCAUGGAACACUUUCCCCUUGGCGAAUGUGGCCAGGGCUGCAUCUUCAUCCUUUUUCCCUACAUUGAUGUCCUCAGCUCUGGUCUCUACCCAAGUGCUCUGCCUGCCCAUCUCUUCCAGGAUGCAGGCUCCAUGAGGGCAAGGAUUUUGUCUAUAUCUGCAGCUUCUCCUUUUUCUUCCUCUUUCCCUUCUGAUUUGAUCCCCUUACAACCCUCUUUAAUCUGUCUUCUACCCUUGCCCUCCGUGAUGCACCCAAACUGACUUAACAGCUUCCUAAUGAGCUUGUCCAGUCACUGGUCUCACAACUGCUCUGCUAUGAUGUCCUGUAAUGCCUUAUACUUUUUCUUGAUAGAACCACCAUUUUUAAUGCAUGUCAUUAAUUGUUCAAUGCCUCUUUUUCCAUUAGAUUAUAGACUCCAUGAAGUCCGGACUGUAUCUGCUUUGCUCACAGGUGCUAGACAAACAGUAAGCCCUGAACAAAUACUCAUUGAGUAAAUAAUUGGGUAAACUACUUGUGUAACUAUAAUUAAAUGUGUUUUAAUUUAACUAUUUAUUUCUGGUUCUAUAACUCAUAUUAUGUACACCAGUCACACAUUUUAUAAGGCAUAAUGUUCUUUGCAUGGUUUCUCUAGUCAAAAGCUCCAAUGACUCCAUUUUAGUGUUGGAAUUACUAAACUAUUAAAAUACCACACCUGGCUUGUGAGGCAGAACCCACCCAGCACAGAGCCUUUAAGAGUUUCAUCCAGUUGGCAGUCUGUACAAUUAGACAAAGGAGAUCUCAUCUCAUUAGUCAUAGUUCUCUAGAGAAACAGGACCAUAGGAUGUGCGUGUAUGCAAACUCAGUAAAGCAGAAAGCCCCCCCCCCCCAACGUGAGUUUGCUGGUUCAAAUUCUGCUCUUAUCCUGAAAUACCCUCACAGAUACACCCAGAAAUAAUGAUUAAUUUGGGCCUGCCUUGUCCCAGUGAAGUUGACGCAUAAGAUCAACUAUCACAUACCUCUACCCAGAUUAGUCUUAGCUAAUUAAACCACUGAGCUGUCCCAGACUCUGAUCCUGUUCUCCUGGCUUCAAAGCUGAUUUCAGUUCUCUUGUUGAGUUUAUUUUGUCCUCCCCUCUUGACUUAGUGUCCAUCACUGACUCUUUGGUUUUGACAUCAGCAGCCUUCUGAUUUGCAUAUUUUGAAACCAGGCUCUCACAGAGACCACUACACAGUCCAUUCAUGGUGGCCAUCCGAUUUAGCUUGCCCACUCAACUUGGCACAAGUGCUGUCAGGGUUGGAACGACCGUGUUAACUUGCCAUUGCUUUUUGUCAUGUUUUCUCUCCCAGUUGGACUGGAAAGAGUCUUCAUCCAUUCCUGAACCUGUGCUCCCUUCCACUCCCUCUUCACCCCAACACAGCACCUCAUUUGCUUUCCCACAAGAAUCCUCCUGGUCCAGCCUCUUCAUCCAUCUAGGCCAGCCCAUUGGGUGCUCCCUAAGGCUGUCCUUGAUCUAUAUGAUCCACGCUGGUCUCCUGUUCACUGGUCUGUGCUCUUCAUCGGGCACAUGCUGUCUAUCACUGUUCUUUAACCACCUUCCCUGUGUGUGUUCACAAGAUAACUUUACACAUUCUCCUGUGUAAAGUUAUAAACGACCUCUCCUCUCCCGUCCCAUGCUGCAGAGACCACCAUGUGUCGAUAGCAUCCUGUGAUAGACGUGCUUAGGAAGGAGGAUGAACCGUCAGAAUCCAGAUGUAACAUUGGCUCUUGGGAAAGGUGAAAUGGGAGAACCUGCAGUAGGAAAUCAAGGGAGAAUUUCUCUGCUCCAGGAAGAGAUAGGGAAAGGAUGAGAUGCCUUGGGCUUGAGGAAUGUUGAACUAGAAAAGUGAUGUGUGAUAAAUACCUUUUUUAAUAUAAAAAAAAUAAAAUUGGCAUAUAAAAUUGUACAUAUUUAUGGGAUACCAUGUGAUGUUUUGUAUAUGGAUGCAUUGUGCUAUGCUCUAAUCAAGCUCAUCCUGUCAUCUCCUCAAAUAUGCAUCAUUUCCUUGUGAUGAGAAACACAUUAACAUCGUAUAUGGUUACUGUGUUGCACACUGGAACACAAUAGAAAGACUAUUUACCAUGCAACUAGGCCUCUGUAAGCAAUCUGUAAUUGAGACUGAAAAAGAAUAGUUGUCAUGGGCUGGGUAUAUAGCUCAGUUGGUAGAGUGCCUGCCUCACAUGCACAAGGCCCUGGGUUCAAUCCCAAGGACCACAAACAACAACAACAAAUGUCACAAUGCUGGUGUUACAACUUUCUUGUGGUCUGAGUACCAUAUAACAUGAUAACUAAAAACAGUUAUUGUAACUAACCAUGCUGUCAUCUCAGAUAUCUAUGGAAAGUAUUAAAUAAAAUAAUAGUAAAAUGGGACAUGGGAGUAUAUUGCCUGACCCAAGCUUCAUCCUGAUAUAGUAGAUAAGUUAUUUUAAAAAUGAGUGUUUAACUCCAUACAACAUUUUGCAGGGGAAAAACAUUUAAUUUAUUAUCUACUAUCAUACCAUUUAUACAUUUAUAUUUUCAUGUCAAACUAAUCUUCUUUGGAAGUAAAUAAAAACAUUUUUUUUUUAUAAUGAAAGAUUCCUUCUGCAUGCACUACCAGGUCUAGCGACAAUAGAAAACUGAGACCAAGUGUCCCAACAAGUGCCUUGCCUCUGUUCACGGCCUUCAUUUGUUGAAAGUUAACCUCUCCCAUCCUGGUUUCUGGAUGGAGAUGUCAUUGUUUCUCACCCUUAUGUUUGCCUUGUUUAUUCAGCCAGGUGCAGGAACCAGUCUAUUCUUGCUCACUUGGAUUCCUAGCUUUUCAUCUCCUUGGCUCUAAUUGCUCCUGACACAACACUUCUCUGUCUUGACUAGAUUUGGGGAUUUCCUUUCCCAUGUAUUACUCCACAGGCAGCCCUGUAUCCCGUCUGUUGCCCUACACACCCCAUGUCUUACUUUAGAUGUGUCGACUGUAUCAGAGGGAGGACCUCGGGAGUCAGGAUGGACAACUUUGAUGUGGUAAUCUGGAGUUGGUGGUAAAGAAAUGGGUAACUCUCUUGAAAAAGAUGAUCCUGCAACAGGGCAGUUUGAAUCUAAGGGGGCAAUAUGAAAAAAAUAAAUAUGUUUUUCAUUCCGAAGUGAAGUGGAAAAGUUUUCAGAAUAGCAUGAACAAAAGUAAUUUCGUUUUUCAGGUAAUAUAAGGUCAUUGUCCACAUUAGCAGAGAUACUCUGUCAACAUUUGCUUUGUAAUUAAGUAUCCUCUUAAAUUCUGAGUUAUUAUUAUUAUGCAUUUUGGCUGGGAUUGCUAAUGGACCUAAAUAAUCACCUAUAUUGGCUUCAUCUUAUCUUUUUUGGACGCCUGUACAAGCUCAGGUACCUAGAGAUUUAAUUAUAGAGCUCAGCCCUUCUCUGUUAUUUUCAUAGACAGGCCCCUGUAAUCAAGCCGAUCCUUGGCAACUCUUCACUGAAAACUCCUUUGACAUCCAUCAAGUUGCUCUCUUCAUUAAUGCCUUAAUAAGUCUUCAGAAUCAAAGAAUAACUUAAAAAAUAAGCAUCAUUUCAGAGACCAGAGCCAAAAGAGUCCUAAGUGAAAGGAUACUUGACAUGCCAAAAAUAGGAACUAGGAAAAAAAAAAACUAACUGGGAAAAUACAAAAGGGAUCAGUAAAUCCUGAGGGAUUGGAUACAGUGGUGUGGGUUUGGAAUAUGGGAGAUUUAUGUAAAUCAGAAGAUUAUUCUGUAGACUACCCUCUAUGUUUUGGCUAUACUUAUAUUUUGAAACUUUUGGAAAAGCAUUAGAAAAUUUUGAGACACUGUCUCCUUGGGAUGGUUAGAAUCUGAGUUAUUGCAGAAAUUAUCUCAAUAGUAAAAUGUUCUAAUGAUAGUUGAAAUAUAGACUGGCAUUGCUAACACUCUCCACAAGAUCCAGGAUAUUGACUUUUGAAUAGGAUGGUCAGGAAAGAAAGAAUUAUUGAUAAUAUAUUUAAACUCAGUGCUUCUGAGAACAUGAUUUGAGUUUUGUUUAUGUUGCUAAAAUAGAUUAUUUUACUAAAUGAAAACAUUCACCACCCAGAUGAAAGCCAGAUUGAAUUCAGUGAAGCAAGUCAUUGAAAACUUACCAGGUACUUAGUAAAUGUUUUGACUAAUUUUUUUCCCACUUUAUUGCCAACAUCUUGAGAAUACAGGCUUAUAAUUCCUGUACUCACAGGAAUAGAUUCUCACCUAAGAAUCUACCUUCAUCAUCGUUCCCACUUCCUGGAUCACAAAGAGAUUCUUUUGCUGUCUCACGCAUGUACCAGUAUCAUCUCUCGUCCCUGUCUUCAAAGUCCACCUCCUCACUGCUUUUUCCUAUCAACAUGUCACCACUGUAAGGUUUCAUCCAUCUUCAAAUCUCUCUCUUUCUCAAUUAUAUCUUAUCUUUCAUUUCUUGUCCAUUUUUUGCCCAUCUUUUUAUUUUACUUAUUUUUAAAAUUUGGUUUUCACUUGGUUAAGGGCUAAGCUACUCAUCUUUAAUCUCAACACCAUACCUACUUUCUUCUCAAUAUUCCCUCACUCCUCGGCCCCUUUCAAUCUCUGUGUGAUCCCCAACAUUUUAGUGGCAUGAUUCUAAAGUCACUCAUGACCUUCAUGUCACUAAAUUCAGCAAACAUUCUUCCAAUCUAAUCAGAGUGGAUCUCUUAUAAAUGUCGAUCAGUACUUUUCUGAAACAUGUACAUCUCUCUUCUUUCUUGACUUUUCUUUUAUAACUCUGUCUAGCUCUUGAUAACCUCCUAUGGAGGAUCAUCCUUCUUUACUUGCCCGGAAGAUAUUAUUCAUUCCUAGAUGAUAUCUAUCAUAUCUGAGUCUUCAGUUACCAUCUAUGGGUCAAGGAUUCCCAAAUGUUUAUCCCUGCUUCAAAACCCCUUCCUGAGCCCAGGGUAUAAACACACCUGCUGUCUCAUCACUUCCAUUGAGGUGGCAAAGGCUCCUCAAUCCUCAGUGUGGCUCAGUACACUCAUAACUCUGCCCUUGAAGCUUGACUUUCCCUUAGUGUUCCCUGGUAUAGUGAAAGUCACUCACUUGUCCAGGAUAGGAACCUAGAAGCUCUACUCUCAGUCUGUACUGAAUUUACCAUUAAAUCUUGCCAGUUAAAAAUUUAAAAUCUCUGCAAUCCAUUCAUCUCUCUUCAUUUUUAUUUUCUCCACUUUUUUCCAAAUUACUCCAACCUCUUUCCUAGUCUGCUCAGUAUCUUCUUCACUGAACUUUUGCUGUCUCCAAACUCUGGUCAGAGUGAUCUUUUAAAAAUUCAAAAUAGACAUUACUGUUUAGCUUAAAACUCUUCAGUGGGGUCCCUCAAUAGAAGGAUGUUUUUAAUCUGGCUUUAAUAUGACACUAGACUCCUUCUGUCCCAUCCUUCCCUUGAUCUUUGCCCAUAAGGCAUAUUGCUGUUGUCUACAUUUUUCUGUUUAACUCCAGGGCAUCCUUUAGAUUAUUGCUCAAAUAUCACUUGCUUGCAAUUUCUGUCUUUAGAUUCAAUGUCCCCAUUCUAUGCUUCCAGAACACCUUCUGCUUUUGCUUUAGAGGUACUAUUACAGCUUGUAAUAAUGUCUUUAUGUUUGCACACUUAUUGAUACAUGUCUCCCAUUCUGGGAACUUGCACGACUCAUAUUUAUUGAAUAAAGAUUACCGAAACAUGCUCACCAAACCAUGUGUGUGGGCAGGAAAUAAUCUUUCUGUCAGUGGGUGGUGAUGGAGGUAAGAGGCACCAGGGAGAAGAGUCUGGCCUCUGUAGUUUAGGGUAGGAGUGGGCCACGCCUGGUCUUAGUUGAACACCGGGAGUUGCAUAGAAGAAUGACUCUACAUCUAUAAUUACACCAUCUGGAUACAUGCCAGGACCCUUGGUUAGGAAGUCUCUGGGAGAAUGCACAAGUUAAACUUGACACUGGAAGACCAGUCACUCUGUUGCAGCUGGAUCUCUCCCCCUGCUCUGCAGUCAAUGUUUUACCCUUUGCCAGCUCCAGAGAUCCACUUUGCAGUCAGUUUAUAUCUCAUACUUGGGACCGUUCUCUUGACACUCAUCUUGAAGUGACUGAUUGCAAAUUACAAGUCCCCAAAGGCCCUUCAAAUUUAGGAUAAAACAAUUGGGCAUAAUUCAAGAUGAUUAAGUGGUAAGGAAAGUAAGUAUUCAUAGGCUGUGAGAGCUGAAAGACAGUAUUUAGUCCAAUGACAUCCAUUUUUAGAUGAGGACAUUGAGGCCUAGAAUGGUUAAGUAAUGUUUCUAAGGUUCACACAGUGAGCUUUUGGAGCAGGUAGGUAGGUCUGGAAUAUGCAUCUCCUGGCUUUACCUACUAACGGUGCUAGUCUUUACACCCAACCUGAAAAGCUUCAGAGUCUAAUCAAGUUAUGAAAUAUGCCUAAUGUUUGGAAUUUGGUCCUGAACAACAAAAAGAAAAAAGAAACCCUGAGAAAAGUUAUUAAAUCACAUCCAUUAAUGUCUACUUAUAAUUAUAAUUACUUGUCAGCUUGAAAGAUACUAUCUUGCUUCUUUAAAGUCAUUGUCAUGGGUAAUGCACAUAAGUUCUACAAGAUCCUCAUGCAUUUGUCUGUAUUUUGCAUUUGGUAGAGGAAAGCACUCUAUUGCUAGCUACCCCCCUGACCCUUAUGUCUUGCAUGUGAAAAGAAUGAAUCAGAUUUGGUAAAUCUCUUUCCUAACAAAUACAUGGACUUUUAUGUAAGUUCAAAAAUAUUUGUCUUUUAUAGUUUAAGUGAGUGCUCCCUUAAUUCAUAAAAUUGCUAAUCUUCUUCUUGGAGGUGAGCCCAUACUGAACAGGUGACAACAGGUGACUUGGAGACACAUGUGUAAGACGAGGACAACUAGUAUUUCUAAUCUAACCUAACUAGACCAGGGGUCGUGACCACCUACUACUAGAAGUAGUUUUUCCUCUGUGGGAGGUGGGUUCUAAGAUGGGCCUGGUAAUCCCUUUCUCCUGGUAUUCAUUCCCUCUGUGAUCCUUGGACCUGCAUGUGGGAUGGAGAGACCUGCAACUUGCUUCUGACUAAUAAAAUACAGCAAAAGUGACAGGACUUCUCUUCCAUGAUUACGUCACGUAACAUUUUGAUUUCUGGUUUUCUAGCAGAUUCUUUCUUUUGAUGGCUUUGUGGAAACAAGCUACCAUGUUGUGAGCCCAGUGGUAAGGAACUGAGGGUAAUCUCUGGCCAACAGCUGGAAAAAAAUCAAGGCCCACAGUUACAGCCGUCCAGGAACCAAACUCUGCCAACAGCCAUCUGAGCAUGGAGCAGAUCUCCUUCCAGUCUGGCCUCCAGGUGAGCCCCCAGCCCUAGCUGAAAUCUUGACUGCAGUUGUGUUGCACAUUCUGAGCAAAGAACCCAUCUAUGCUGGCCUGGAUUCCUGACUCUCGGAGCCUGUGAGAUAGUAAAUGUGUUGCUGUAAGUGGUAGUAUUUCACCCAGCAAUAAAAAAUGAGUACAGUUUUUUUUUUUUUGCCAUCAUUGAUGUAUCCUAGUUUUUGAUAACCACAUAAUAAAAAACUAGAGUUACUUACACACACACACACACACACACACACACCCCUAAAGGAUCUCUACUGGCUGCCUGUUUCCUACAAGACCAAACAUGAGCAUAUAAUGUCUUUCCUGAGUAUUUAUUGCCUACAUUUCUAGCUUUUUCUCCCAUCCUUUCCAUUACUUCGCCUGCACACCCCCCCGACACAACCUUCUCUCUUUCUCUCACUGUUCCCUUGAUGCUCACCACUUACGAUCUUUACAUAAGUGUCUCCCUCUCUGUGGAAUCCCUUCAUUUUGUCCUUGCAAACUCUCCUUUAUCUUUUAAGGUUCAUCUUAGUCCUUCCUUCUUUAUAGGUGUAGCAGUCAGCUUUUCAUCACUGUGACCAAAAUACUGACCAGAACAACUUCAAGUUUUAUUUAGAGGAAAGGUUUAUGUAAGGGUCAUGGUUUUAGAGGUUCAGUUUACAGUUGACCCAUUCCAUAGCUCUGGGCAUGAGGUGAGGCAGAGCAUGGCAGAAGGGCUUGGUGGAUGAAAGCAUCUCAGCUCAGGGCAGGCAGCCAGGAAACAGAGUGAGAGAGGGAGCAAGGGGCCAGGGUACUUCCUAUGUCCUCUAGCCAUGACCCACCUGACUGUUGUUACCAUGCAGUAAUCUGUUCAAAUUAUUAAUCCCCCAAGUGGAUUAAUCCACAUCCACUGAUUAAGUUAUAGCUGUCAUGAUUUAAUCAUUUUACCUCUGAAUGUCCUAUAUUGCUUAACAUGAGCUUCUCAGGGGACAUCUCAUGCCCCACCAUAACAACUCCCAACCAUUCCCAUAGCAUUUUAUUCACAUACAUUAUGCCGUCGUCACCUUGUAUUACAAUUUAUAUAGGUGGCAGAGUGGUCUUUGAUAUUAGUUUGGAUUUUGCUCUCCAAACUGUCUCCUUUGUGCUCUUUUCAAGUAGGUUGCUUUACUGUCAUCAUUUCGUUGCUUGGCUAUUUUUUCAUGUUGGAAAAAAAAGUAGAAGAUUUUUACAGCUAGCUGAUUUUCCUGUUUGUUUUUAUUUGGAAACAGACAUAUUGAAUAGAUGGUACUACAUAUGUAGAGGAAAAAAGGAAGAAGGACGAGAGUCUCUGAGAGUAAUGAAGGAGAGAAUUCCUUCAGGUGGAGAGAGGCAGGACUCCACUGCAGUGCUCCAGGAAAGAGAAGUGUACCAGGGGAGACAGAAGGCUUAGGUCCCAUCCUGAAGAUGGGGUUUAGCCACAGGACUCUGACCACCUGAAGACUCCCAUGGCUCAGGUGGAUUAGAGACAACACUGGUAGUGACCAAACCAUUGGUGUGCUAUUGAGACUUCUGCAUGUCAACAACCCAUGACAGGAGAGCUCUC
rnacentral:lncRNA from 1 species